rnacentral:rRNA from 1 species
CCUACGGGAGGCUGCAGUAGGGAAUUUUCCACAAUGGGCGCAAGCCUGAUGGAGCAACACCGCGUGAGUGAAGAAGGGUUUCGGCUCGUAAAGCUCUGUUGUUGGAGAAGAACGUGCGUGAGAGUAACUGUUCACGCAGUGACGGUAUCCAACCAGAAAGUCACGGCUAACUACGUGCCAGCAGCCGCGAUAAUACGUAGGUGGCAAGCGUUAUCCGGAUGUAUUGGGCGUAAAGCGAGCGCAGGCGGUUGCUUAGGUCUGAUGUGAAAGCCUUCGGCUUAACCGAAGAAGUGCAUCGGAAACCGGGCAACUUGAGUGCAGAAGCGGAAAGUGGAACUCAAGGUGUAGCGGUGGAAUGCGUAGAUAUAUGGAAGAACACCAGUGGCGAAGGCGGCUGUCUGGUCUGCAACUGACGCUGAGGCUCGAAAGCAUGGGUAGCGAACAGGAUUAGAUACCCUUGUAGUC